GGAACAUUAAAGCUAAAGAGAAUCUUGCUGCUGUGAAGCAGAACUUGAGAACCUGCCUCCAUAUUAGAUUAUUCAUUUUGGUUUUCUCUUAUCUUGUCCAAGACCAGAAAGAUAGAAGUUGAUUUAGCAUCUGUUAAUAUCCAAACAAUUGAAGAUGUACUUUGCACGGGUGGAGAACUUUGUUCUUUGAGAUACGACUUAACCGUACCAUUUGCUAGGUAUGUGGCUAUGAAUGGUCUCACAUGGAUUAAAAAGUACCAGAUAGCUAAGGUUUACAGGAGGGACAACCCAUCUAAGGGAAGAUACCAUGAAUUUUACCAGUGCGAUUUAGAGCGUAGGCACGUCACUAUCGGGAAUUUUA